AGAGCAAGGGUACCUCAUGAUACGUGCAGAAGAAGUAACAUCCAAUUCACUUUUUCUAGAGAUGGAUGAGUCAUAUGGUACCAUCAGCCAAUACACUUCCUCUCCAUCCAAAGCAUAUAUAAUUCAUAGGAGGAAUAAGUUUAGGGCUUCGAAAAUAAUGCAAAGUACUUUGGACCUGUAUGACAGUGGAGGCCUGUCGAAAGAACAUGCUUUUGGUAGGACAUAAAGUGAAAAUUAUGAUUACUGGAGAGGUUUCAGAUUUGGAGAUCUCGGGUUUUUUCUAGCAAUUGGAUUUUGAUGGGUAUGUUGUAGCCAAGCGAGGAACAAUAGAGACUAGCUCAUGGACGUUUGUGCUGCUAGGUAUAUUCUAGACAAGAAGUACAACCAAGCCACUACAGCUGCUGGCUCAGGUAUCUCUUUGAUUGGUUAUCCACAUUCUACUAAAAGCAAGCUCCUCUGUUUCUUCUUGCAUCACAAUAGACGUGCGUUGGUUAAUGUUGCAUGAGAGGAAGUUUCUCUGUGUUGUCUAAUGGCAUCAUGUGACUCGUUUUGUCCAUUUUAAAAAAAUUGUAAAUUGGAUGUCACUUCUUACGCAGGUGUGAUAAGGUUGCCUUGCUCUUGCAUUCUCUUAGAUAAUUUGAUUCAGCUUGCUACCUAAAUUAAAUUUUUUGGUAGAGAGAAUUCGAGAGCAAGGGUACCUCAUGAUACGUGCAGAAGAAGUAACAUCCAAUUCACUUUUUCUAGAGAUGGAUGAGUCAUAUGGUACCAUCAGCCAAUACACUUCCUCUCCAUCCAAAGCAUAUAUAAUUCAUAGGAGGAAUAGAUUCAGGGCUUCGAAUAUGAUGCAAAGUACUUUGGAUCUGUAUGACAGAGGAGGCCUGUAGGAAGAACAUGCUUUUGGUAGGACAUAAAGUGAAAUUAUGAUUAUUGGAGAGGUUUCAAAUUUGGAGAUCUCGGGUUUUUUCUUGCAAUUGGAUUUUGACGGGUAUGUUGUAGCCAAGCCAGGAACAAUAGAGUCUAGCUCAUGGACGUUUGUGCUGCUUGGUAUAUUCAAGACAAGAAGUACAUGCAAGCCACUACAGCUGCCGGCUCAGGGGAGGCCUGUCGGAACAACAUGCUUUUGGUAGGACAUAAAGUGAAAAUUAUGAUUACUGGAGAGGUUUUAGAUUUGGAGAUCUCGGGUUUUUUCUUGCAAUUGGAUUUUGACGGGUAUGUUGUAGCCAAGCCAGGAACAAUAGAGACUAGCUCAUGGACGUUUGUGCUGCUAGGUAUAUUCAAGACAAGAAGUACAUGCAAGCUAAUACAGCUGCUG